rfam:Oribacterium sp. ACB1 genomic scaffold acqcx-supercont2.1, whole genome shotgun sequence.
AGGGCCAUCGCCAAGCGGUAAGGCACAGGCCUUUGACGCCUGCAGUCGUUGGUUCGAAUCCAACUGGCCCUG